UCUAAGGCACUAUUCUCAGCCAAGAUGGCCUAAAGCAAAUAUAAUUCCUAACUCUUCAAUGAUGUGAACAGCACAUACAUAAGUCUUCGCUUAGCACUAUUGAGGAGACUACAGUUAGAUAGGUUUGUGGAUUAGCUAAUAAUUAGCACUAUGUAAGUCAAAGUCCAUUGUAAAAACAAAACCUUUAGCAGCAAAUCAACUAAGAAAUGAGAUACAUGAAGAACUCUUGGGGAAAAUCAAUAUUUCAAGCAUAAGAAAAAUCAAGAGCAGAAGCCUGUGUCAGGGAGGAAUUGUGAAUAAUUAAAAGGCUACAAACAUAAGAAUAUGUAUAUAAAGAAAGAAGUAGAAAAUUAUUUAAAAUAUUCAGUUCUACUCCUCCAUUGUUGGUGGGAUUGCAGACUGGUACAACCACUCUGGAAAUCAGUCUGGAGGUUCCUCAGAAAAUUGGACACUGAACUGCCUGAGGAUCCAGCUAUACCUCUCUUGGGCAUAUACCCAAAAGAUGCCCCAACAUAUAAAAAA
rnacentral:lncRNA from 1 species